CCCUUAGAUGUUCUGGGCCGCACGCGCGCUACACUGAUGCAUUCAACGAGUUUCUUCCUGGUCCGAGAGGAAUGGGUAACCUUUUGAAAGUGCAUCGUGAUAGGGAUAGACUAUUGCAAUUAUUGGUCUUCAACGAGGAAUUCCUAGUAGACGUAGUUCAUCAGACUGCAUCGAUUACGUCCCUGCCCUUUGUACACACCGCCCGUCGCCCCUACCGAUUGAAUGCUCAGGUGAGCCAUUCGGACUUUCAUCAUGCUGGUUUCUAGUUUUGAUGAAGGAAAGUCUUGCGAACCUUAUCAUUUAGAGGAAGGAGAAGUCGUAACA
rnacentral:rRNA from 1 species